GGGUCAGUAGGUUGGUCGUGCCACCGGUACGUACUGGUCUCACUGAUUCCCCCUUCCUGAAGAACCGUAAUGCCAUUAAUUUGGUGUUGCGGGGAAACAGGACUGUUACUUUGAAAAAAUUAGAGUGUUUAAAGCAAGCUAACGCUUGAAUACAUUAGCAUGGAAUAAUGAAAUAGGACGAUCGAUCCUAUUUUGCUGGUUUCUAGGAUUGACGUA
rnacentral:rRNA from 1 species